GAAGGAGUCUAACUUGUGCGCGAGUAAUUGAGUUACUCGUUGAAAGCUUAAAUGCGCAAUGAAAGUGAAAAUGCCGUUGUCGGUUGUUGGAUGAUCCUGGGUGAUGGGGGCUCAGGCGUAAUCUAUGGGCAUCAUGAUUGCUAUCGCCAAUUUGGUGCACCACGAGCGCAUAAGUUGGUACCCGAAAGAUGGUGAACUAUGCCUGGCAAGGGCGAAGCCAGGGGAAACUCUGGUGGAGGCCCGUUUGGAUUCUGACGUGCAAAUCGAUCUUCAGAGCUGGGUAUAGGGGCGAAAGACUAAUCGAACCAUCUAGUAGCUGGUUCCUCCUGAAGUUUCCCUCAGGAUAGCUGGUGCUCAUUGUCUGAAUGAUCGAGUUUCAUCCGGUAAAGCGAAUGAUUAGAGGCCUUGGGGGCGAAAUGACCUCAACCUAUUCUCAAACUUUAAAUGGGUGAGAAGCCAGGCUUACUUGAAUGAAGCCGGUUUUUGGCAAAUUUUGAAUCGUUGAAGCACCUAGUGGGCCAUUUUUGGUAAGCAGAACUGGCGCUGUGGGAUGAACCAAACGUUGAGUUACGGUGCCUGAAUGAACGCAAAUCUGAUCCCAUGAAGGGUGUCGGUUGCUCUAGACAGCAGGACGGUGGCCAUGGAAGUCGGAAUCCGACUA
rnacentral:rRNA from 1 species